GGCCUGAUGGUCUAGUAGUAUGAUUUUCCUAUAUCGAGGAGGUCCUGGGUUCAAUACCCAAUUAGGCCC